GCGCUGCUGGAGGACUAAGGAGUACAAGCAUCAUCAGACACCAGGAGGAAGGUCCUGUGCCAGGCUAAAGGAGACCAAGUCAGAGAUACAGACGGGGGUGCAUGUUCUGAGCCCUGAAAACAAAGACAAGAAGUAUGAACUUGAUACACACUGCAAAUGAAACUACUUGAGGUGCACAUGGUGCAACAUGGACAAAGCAAAAGGCCAACAAAAGAAGAGCAAGAUGAUUUUAGAAGCAGCAUUUUGGAUAGACUGGGCCAAGGAACUAUUUGAUGGGAUGUACCUGGCCUUUGCUAAUCCCCACAGAAGGCCCUGUGGUCCUGCUACAUCCUCCCCCAGGAAGCAGUGAUAUGAGAGGAACAGCGCAGUGAAGGUGGGUCCUCCAGAUCUGGCUAGAGAAGCCACCUUGGAGAAGCCAUUUUAGAAACUACAGAAACCUGGUCCCUCCACGACUAGGGGGGCUAGCAACAGCCAAUCUGGGUCCUUUUGGCCCAGCUAAAAGGAGCUGAAGGGCCCUAUUUGGUCAGUUCCUGGCUGGGACCAGAGAAGUGAAGAAGGGCGCUCUUCUAUGGCUGAAGGAGCCUGACAAUCAGAGAGAGCUUAUGGCUACCUGAAAUUACAUAGCUAGGAUUGUGGAGAGAGAAGAACAUGAGAUAGGGCUGGAGAUAAAAGGGUCCAGCAGGAUGAGGCCCAGGGGAAAGCAGCAAAGGAUUGAAGUGAACAGUGUGCUCCUGUGUAGAGGGUCCGUAGGCUGGAACCCGGAGUAGUGGGCAGACCCAGGUUCCCCAGGUAAAAUGGCAUAAACCCCAAGAUGAGGACAGUUCUUAUUUGGGAGCCCGAACUAAAGGGCUGAGAGCCAGGGUGAAGGCCCUAGAGAGGGCAGACAGGCUGUUUAUUUGUUGGACUCUUAAAUACCCAGGAAGGGGUUCAUUUGGACUUUGUGAUUUGGCUGGAGGGCCAAGCCACUGAAGACCUCUCCCCAUGAUCAGCCUGCAAGGGACACCAGAGUCGAGAAAAGAACUAAUACCGCACCCCACCACGCAGAGGGCUCAAGAAAUGAGUGCUCCUUUACAAACCAAAAAAGCAGAAAAGGUGGCAUUAAGGCGGUGUUAAAGUCAACAUCUCUCAUUAUAACAGGCUACAUCAUAAAAUACUCCAAAAUCUAGUAAAGCUCAGAUAUGGAUCUUCACUUCAAAUCUCCAAGUUUGGGAACUUUGGCUUCAGAUCUAGGGUUUGGGCUCAUGCCUUAUAGAGCAUUCAAUGUGGUAAAGUUAAUGAGAGAAAAUCCUUCCCUACCUUCUGGAUUUUCUUGCAUUUCAGUUUUUAGUUUCUCCAAUUAAA